UCUGUAAAACUGCAGUCUAACAAUUCCACCACUUGUUCUAAUUUAGUGAGGGGUGAGAAUUAACAGAUGGUGUCAUUAUCAAAAGCUGUUCAAGUGUUGAAACAACAUAAAUUCCACAAAUACAGAAAAACAAAUAUAAACUGCUGUAAUUUUUCCAAUAUUGGUUGAAUUAUAAUCACACUUUGCAUUUAUACAGGGCUUUUUAACCCACAGCUUUUGAAGUGCUUCCAGAUUGUACCUAAAGCUGAGCCCAGAUCUGUGGGGGAGGAGAGUAUAACAUUACCUGCUCUGCUGAAGUUGGAGGUGGGGUGCUGAGUGUUAAAGGCUUACACUGGACAUCUGCAGAGGGGCUCUGGCUUCUUCACCUGGCUCUGCUGCUGCUCCAGCUGAAUGGUCCUGGCUGUUACCUCUGCAUAAAAAUACAAGGAAGGGUAGGCAGGUAGGAUGGAGGAUGCCCCCAGUCAGCUUUUUCGCCUGUGAUGUGAGGCACCACUGAAGAUAGAGUCUUCUUCACACACAGAACAUAUCUGGAAAAUGCAUUGCAGUGUUUUGAAAGGCUGGGAGAGAGGUCACAAUUAUAAGUGUGGACAGGCAGUCUGCUGCUUGGGACAGCAUUUAGGAAGAAGAGACCAUUUUUCUGCAUUUUGUAAUACCCUCGGUGUGGCUCCUGCCGCGGUUAUCGCUCCCGAUCCCUGGCUGGGGACACGGAGGCCAGCUGUGCUGUUAGAGAAGUGCCAUCGUGGGAAGCUGGAGCUGCAGCCAGUGUGGCCGGGAUAUCAGCACUGCUUGUGACAUUCUUGGACCCCUCCUCUUUGCUGCUCUCCUAUUUCCCCACUCGCACUUCCCCCAGAUAAUUUAAGCUCCAGAGAUCAGAUGAAAAUUCCUACUCAGCAAUUUAUUUUUCUCCCCUCCCCCCACGCUUUUAAUCCCAGGAGCUUGUUCAGGGAGAAAUAUGUGCUAUCUCAGACAUAUGUGGGUGUGAAAGAGUGCGCUUAGUAAGGCCUUUCUUCAGGUUAAGAAAACAGCAAACUCGUUCUGUGACAUUCUCUCAUCCUUCGGUGACCUGUGCAAGGCACAGGGAGUGUUGUGCAUACACCUGAAGCUAAAACAAAGCUGAAAAACAUCUAAAACGCUGCAGUUGUUGGGUGGGGUUGGAGUGAAUGAGCAGGUGCAUACCAAAGCAAAAUUAUCUUGGGUUGUGUUCCUGUCCUGUUUCAUAAUCAUUAGGCAGGUUUGGGGGCAGAAAACUUCCAAGAAAAAGGGAAAGAAGAGUGGGAAAUGGCAGUUCAGAAGUCAGUGGCUUUCCUGCAAUCAGCCCAGUAGUUGCUCCUAGCUGCCUGACUGCCAGGGUUUGGCAGAGAUUUAGAAGCUGAGUAUCUGUUGACUGUCAGGGCAGUGCUGUCAGUCACCUACGUUCAGGUUAAUGCUUCAGGGAGCUGGCCAAACUCCAGGGGAUAAC